AUGGGUAGAAGUAGGGUCAAUCCUAUUUGGGGCAAGAUUUGGAAAUUAGCUUGUCCGGCGAAGCUGUUUUUUAUCUGGCACACAUUGCAUGGGACACUACCGUGUCAUAUUACCCUAGCCAAUAGACACAUAAAUUUUUUGCCCAAUUGCCCAUCAUGUUGAAAUGGGCUAGAGGAUACAAAGCAUGUGUUGUUCCUGUGUCAGAAGGCAAAAGAAGUGUGGGAAAAUUUGGGGAUGUAUGGAGCGGUUAAAAAAGCUUGUGCGGUUGAUCAUGCAGGGGAGGCAGUCCUUGAAUCAUUAUUCCUCAUACCACAACAAGAGUUUUCUUUGUCGGAUUCACGGAACGCACGAGAGCUGAUUGCUGUAACCGCGUGGUAUUUAUGGUGGAAUAGACGUAAACUGGUUCACGGGGGAAAGUCUCAAGAGGUAUGUCGAACCUCGAUGGGAAUUCGUGCUAUGACGACAAAUUUUGUAAAUGCCCAUUCCCCUAAUGCUAAUAGGAAGAUUGGAGGGUGGAGUUGA
rnacentral:rRNA from 1 species